rnacentral:rRNA from 1 species
UACGUAGGGUGCGAGCGUUGUCCGGAAUUAUUGGGCGUAAAGAGCUCGUAGGCGGUGUGUCACGUCGGCCGUGAAAACCUGCAGCUUAACUGUGGGCGUGCGGUCGAUACGGGCAUCACUGGAGUUCGGCAGGGGAGACUGGAAUUCCUGGUGUAGCGGUGAAAUGCGCAGAUAUCAGGAGGAACACCAACGGCGAAGGCAGCUCGCUAGGACGGUACUGACGCUGAGACGGCGAAAGCGUGGGGAGCGAACAGG